rnacentral:rRNA from 1 species
CCUACGGGAGACAGCAGUGAGGAAUAUUGGUCAAUGGACGCAAGUCUGAACCAGCCAUGCCGCGUGCAGGAAGACGGCUCUAUGAGUUGUACACUGCUUUUGUACGAGGGUAAAUCCCGAUACGUGUAUCGGGUUGAAAGUAUCGUACGAAUAAGGAUCGGCUAACUCCGUGCCAGCAGCCGCGGUAAUACGGAGGAUUCAAGCGUUAUCCGGAUUUAUUGGGUUUAAAGGGUGCGUAGGCGGUCGGAUAAGUUAGAGGUGAAAUCCCGAGGCUCAACUUCGGAAUUGCCUCUGAUACUGUUCGGCUAGAGAGUAGUUGCGGUAGGCGGAAUGUAUGGCGUAGCGGUGAAAUGCUUAGAGAUCAUACAGAACACCGAUUGCGAAGGCAGCUUACCAAGCUACUUCUGACGUUGAGGCACGAAAGCGUGGGGAGCAAACAGGAUUAGAUACCCCAGUAGUC